GAUGAACGCUGGCGGCAUGCUUAACAAAUGCAAGUCGGACGGGGAGUGCUGUUUCCAGUGGCGGACGGGUGAGGAACGCGCAAGAACCUGCCCUUGGGCGGGGAACAACAACUGGAAACGGCUGCUAAUACCCCGCAGGCUGAGGAGCAAAAGGAGGAAUCCGCCCGCGGAGGGGCCCGCGUCUGAUUAUCUAGUUGGUGAGGCAUUAGCUUACCAAGGCGAUGGUCAGUAGCUGGUACGAGAGGAUGAGCAGCCACACUGGGACUGAAACGCGGACCAGGCACCGACGGGCGGCAGCAGUGUGGAAUCUUCCGCAAUGUGCGGCUGCCUGACGGGGCCCUGCCGCGUGGAGGUAGAUGGCCCACGGGUCGUGAACUUCUUUUCCCGGCGAAGAAGCAAUGACGUGAUCUGGCGUCUAAGCAUCGGCUAACUCCGUG
rnacentral:rRNA from 1 species